rnacentral:lncRNA from 1 species
CGGAAAUACGGUGAUUAUGUUGGAUGCGCAUCAGGAAAUACGGUAGUGGUGUGGUGAUGCGCGCUUUGAAAUACGGUAGCUGUGUCGCGCAAGAGCACCUGUGAUUACGGUACUUGCCGUGCCCAUUGGAAAAUACGGUACUUGUGCGCAUGCGCGUUUAGUUCUGCCGUUGGAAUUACGGUAGUUGUGGUGCGCAUGCGGAGAUACGACAUUGGCGCGAUACACUCUUGGAAAUACGGUAGUCAUGGCGCGCAGGCGCGUUCGGAAACGGUAGUGAGAUGCGCAUGCGCACUGGGAAACACUGGAAUUACGGCACUCGGAUGGGAUGCGCGUUUGUAAUUACGGUAGCUCUGCUUGUAUGCGCAUAUGCAAUUACGGUAGUUGUGAUGCGCAAGAAUAUUUGGAAAUGCGGUGGAUUUGGAUGCGCAUUUGGAAUUACGGACCCUCCACACCACACCCAUGGCCUGCAACAACAUCUGCCGUCCCUGCGGACCCACCCCGCUGGCCAACAGCUGCAACGAGCCCUGUGCCCUGCAAUGCCAGGAUUCCCGUGUUGUUAUCCAGCCUUCCCCUGUGCUGGUCACCCUGCCAGGACCCAUCAUGACCUCCUUCCCCCAGAACACCGCUGUUGGAUCCACCUCCUCGGCUGCCGUGGGCACUGAACUCAGUGUGCAGGGACAGCCCAUCUCUGGUGGAUUUGGUGGAUUUGGUGGCUUUGGCUACGGCCUUGGCUAUGGCCGUGGAUUUGGCUACGGGCUGGGCUGUGGCUAUGGGCUGGGAGGCCUGGGCUGCUAUGGCAGAAGGGGUGGCUACAUCUGCUAAGGGCCCUUGGCAGCAACCCUGACACCAACCCUCAGCUCCCUGGAACACAUCUCAGGCAUUGAGGACUCCUCUCUGGUCCAAGGCUCUCAGAUGGACUCAGCGCUUCCAGCUCCUGCUCUCAGGGCACCAAGCAAGGCAGCAGACAGGGGUCAAGCCCAGGCUGCCCUGCAAUCAUGGCCCAUCUGCCUCCUGCUCUUCUCCCACUCCGUGUUCUGCAUGGAUUCUUUGGUUCUGUCCAGCUCCCUCUGGACAAACACGUUCUCCCAAGCCGGAGAUCUUCGGGCAGCUCUGCUGGGCUGCUCCCAUUGCAGGGCAGGAAGUUCUUGAUGCUCUGGCCAAAGCUUCUCAAUGGUUGGACUUUGGCUGAUGGUCACCCUGAUCACAACCCGGACCAACUCCCUUCUGCUGCUCCUGAGUUUUCACUCUUCUACCUCAAUAAAGUUUUCUUGCAUCACA